rnacentral:rRNA from 10 species
GAUCAGGUAGGGAUACCCGCUGAACUUAAGCAUAUCAAUAAGCGGAGGAAAAGAAACCAACAGGGAUUGCCCUAGUAACGGCGAGUGAAGCGGCAACAGCUCAAAUUUGAAAUCUGGCUCUUUUAGAGUCCGAGUUGUAAUUUGCAGAGGGCGCUUUGGCUUUGGCAGCGGUCCAAGUUCCUUGGAACAGGACGUCACAGAGGGUGAGAAUCCCGUACGUGGUCGCU